CUCCAGUUCCUGAUCUCUGCAUGGUGCUGAUGGUGAAUUUAUGGCUUGCCCAGUGCCUGCAGCCAGCCUAAACUGUUCCUGUAUUCUCUGGCCUAUCAAAAUCAAUUUGGGGAAAAGAAGCAGCAGUCCUUUAUGAAUUGUUCUGCCUCCAGUGAACAAACUAUAAGCUGCAUACUCUCAGGGAAGCAGAGCAGCUCCCUGUGCACCCAUACCACACCUCAGAGGACACCAGGAGCUGAGCCUGUGCUG
rnacentral:lncRNA from 1 species